UACGUAGGGGGCGAGCGUUGUCCGGAUUCAUUGGGCGUAAAGCGCUUUAAGGCGGUUCGCUAAGUCGGGUGUGAAACCUCCAGGCUCAACCUGGAGACGCCACUCGAUACUGGCGUGACUAGAGUCCGGUAGGGGACCACGGAAUUCCUAGUGUAGCGGUGAAAUGCGCAGAUAUCAGGAGGAACACCAGUGGCGAAGGCGGUGGUCUGGGCCGGAACUGACGCUGUAGAGCGAAAGCGUGGGGAGCGAACAGG
rnacentral:rRNA from 1 species